rfam:Angiostrongylus cantonensis strain Taiwan genome assembly, scaffold: ACAC_contig0000319
GCUCGGUUAGCACAGUCGGGAGAGCACCAGACUCUUGAUCUGGCUGUCACGGGUUCGAGCCCCGCAUUGGGCU